UACGUAGGUGACAAGCGUUGUCCGGAUUUACUGGGCGUAAAGAGCGCGCAGGCGGUCGAUCAAGUCGAGUGUGAAAAGCCCCCGGCUCAACUGGGGAGGGUCAUUCGAUACUGAUCGACUCGAAGGCAGGAGAGGGUAGUGGAAUUCCCGGUGUAGUGGUGAAAUGCGUAGAUAUCGGGAGGAACACCAGUGGCGAAGGCGACCAUCUGGACGACAACUGACGCUGAGGCGCGAAAGCGUGGGGAGCAACAG
rnacentral:rRNA from 1 species